rnacentral:lncRNA from 10 species
GGGCCACAUCUGCCAGAGCCUGGAGUCUGCGAAGGCCGGGACCCGGUUCCCCGGCCCACAGUGGGGGUGUGCAAACCCGAGAGAACUGGGUUGCAAAUUCGUGAAGAAUCAGCAUCAUGUUUGGCAGCUGAGUAUUGGAGCCAGGAGCCUGCCAUGAGCCGAUGCAGCCUCAGUGUUCCUUUGCCUUGGGGGUUUCUGAGUGGUGGGGUUGUAAGCAGAUCCUGCCAGGCACCCAGAAGGAAACCUCAUCAGGACUCCCUCAGAAAGCAGGCCCUGAAGAAUCCUGUGACCUUCAUCUAAAGUAGGUCAUGAGACCCCUGAGCUUAAAACGGAGUGAUCGGCUUUGGAGAAGUAAGGAGACAUGACGUGCCUGCCCUGGGGUGGGGACUAAACUUCGUGCCACUCCACGUGAAAGGGGGAGAAAUCCCUGGAAGGCACGCAGGCUGGACAUCAUCAUAUAUUCUCUACAGAUGGAGACACCAAGGCCCACGCCUUCUGUGCUGUUGGAAUUUCAGGAAGGAUGGGGGUGGGGCACGGCCUCAGCCCUGGGCAUGUUCUGCAGAUUGCACUGCUCUUAUCUGCCAGGGGGUGGUGAGAGGGUGGCUGAGCUGGACAGAUGGCGGGCAGGGACGGGCUCUGCGGUCUGGCAGCUGACAUUGAUACAAGCAAAAAAAGAGUCUUUGCUGGGG